CACGUAGGCACCAAGCGUUAUCCGGAUUUAUUGGGCGUAAAGAGCUCGUAGGCGGUUCGGUAAGUCGGGUGUGAAAACUCUGGGCUCAACCCAGAGAGGCCACCCGAUACUGCUGUGACUAGAGUGCGGUAGGGGAGCGGGGAAUUCCUGGUGUAGCGGUGAAAUGCGCAGAUAUCAGGAGGAACACCGGUGGCGAAGGCGGCAUCCUGGACCGGUAUUGACGCUGAGGCGCGAAAGCUAGGGGAGCAAACGGG
rnacentral:rRNA from 1 species